GUCACUUCCGCCUCCGUUUCUCUGCUAUUUUUAAUCGGUGUCUUUGACGAUAUACUAACCCAAACCAAUAUGCACCAUUAAAGUGGAAGAGUCCAUAUGAUGACCGUGUGUUCCCUGACCAGAAACCCCAACGUGGCCAAUAUCUGAAAAAAACAGUCGCAGAGUUUCAUACUCAACAGACGGGGUACAAAAAAAAAGCAAAUAGAUGUCUAGAUGGAAGUGAGAAAGACAGAUGACAAAGAGAUGAUGCUCCAUUCCCACUCUGACACCCACCUACCCCUCCUGCCGUGUCCUUCAUAUCACACUGGCAAGAAAAAUUAGAACAGUUCGGCCCACGUUAUUUUUUUCUUUACUCUUUUUCCUCCCUUUAUUUUGCCUUCCUCCACACCGUCGACUGUCUCCGUGUUUAUUAUCCGUCUCUCUCCUCAUCCUCCUCCCACUUCUCCCUGGUCAUUGCACGGGUCAGGACGGGAGUCACGACAGGCGCUGGGAUGAAGCCCCUCUCCUCCUCCUCCCCUUCUAGCUGUCAUUCAUCACAUCCCACAGUUGACAGCUACCUCUUCCCACUCGUACCUUCUCUUCAUGCAAGAUCACGAGAGCCAGGAGCCUUUUCAUUCACAACUGAAAACAGGAUAACCUUUCGUCAACAAUGCCGCCGUACGCUGUGGAAUUCGACAAUCCAGUCCUCUUAGGAAGUUAGUCCGGCCGAGCAAAACAAAACGAGAGGUCAGAGACAAAAC